GAUGAACGCUGGCGGCGUGCCUAACACAUGCAAGUCGAACGAGGUAAAUAAGAUGAAGUUUUCGGAUGGAUUUUUAUUUACCGAGUGGCGGACGGGUGAGUAACGCGUGGGUAACCUGCCUCAUACAGGGGGAUAACGGUUAGAAAUGACUGCUAAUACCGCAUAAGCGCACAGUACCGCAUGGUACGGUGUGAAAAACUCCGGUGGUAUGAGAUGGACCCGCGUCUGAUUAGGUAGUUGGUGGGGUAACGGCCUACCAAGCCGACGAUCAGUAGCCGACCUGAGAGGGUGACCGGCCACAUUGGGACUGAGACACGGCCCAA
rnacentral:rRNA from 1 species